AUGCCAGUUUUCAAGCUGUAUUUUUUAUUUCAUUAAUAUUUAUAUAAAUGUGACACAGUACAGAAAUUAAGUUUCUUAUUUUCUAAAGCUCGAAAAAAAGCUUUAUUUAUUCAAUUGUCUUAAUCUCAUAGAUAUUUAAAUAGAUUUCACCAUAUAGUUGUAUGAAAAAUUGGACAAUGUACUCUAACUAAAUUGAACAUUUCUUCUCUAUUAUUAUUUCUGCCUCCCUGUACUUUUGAGAGCUUUUCUUUAUGAAAUCGAACAUUAUAUUUACUCACAUUGACAUGUUAUUUUUAUGAUGAUAACGCUUUAAUGAUAACAUUUAGUUGAGUAUGAAAUGUGCUUUGGUAUAUUUUUUCAAUUAGCGUUUGCAGUACUCCACCGUAACUAGUCCCGUUAGUAUGUAAGUUACCGCGAACUUUUUCUUUUAGCGGUAGGCCAAAUUUUAUACUGGUAGGCCAAUAAGCAACACAUAGACCAGUUUUGGUCCUUGGCGAUACCAGAUGGAGUGCCGUCACGUUGUUCACGAGGAGUGGUCAUCCUUUAGGAUGCCUGCGCUGGACGCGAUUUUUAAAAGGUUUCUCAUAUUGUGAAGCCCCCAAGUGGCGAAGACGUUGCCUUUACAAUGCAGGGCAAGUGCACAAGAGAUGUUUCAUUGUUUCUCUUGCACCUUGCUCCUGAUAUUUCCUGCAGUCAUCUCGAUUCGUAAGUUCAGUUAAUAUAAAUACAUAUAUAAUUGCAAUAACACUAAAUUUCUUUCAUGGAAACUGCAUUGAUUUCAUAUACUUUUGCACUAAUAUACCAAUUAUCAGUGUUCUUUAAAAAAUACUAUUUGUGCUUAAUGGAGAUUAAAAUUUUCAGUGGUGAGGUCAUGGCAUCCGGUUUUUGUUGUAACUAAAUACAUCCGCAUGUGCAUGUGUGCAUAUAUAGUAUGCAUUUCGCAUAUAUACUUACAUACAUACAUACAUACGUACAUAUAGGCAUUUCAAUUUCAUACAUUCCCAUUUGGAAGUUUAAUUUCAUAAAUAAGCAGCAGGUUUAACAUUUAAUUUAUUUAAAAGAAAAGGGUUUCAUUAUUAAAAUAUUGUUCAGUUAGCUUUUUACAGUUUAGCUUUAGUUUAGUUUAAUUUCAUAACUUUACGCAACCCUAGUAAGGUUUAAAAGAAAGUGUAUAUGCGAUAAGCGUAUAUAUAAAUAAAUAAUAAACUAUUUUAACUAACUUUGCUUUUGAUUAACUCAUAUACAAAUAUAUAAUACUUAAAGAAAUUCUUACCGAAUUGAUUCACGAGUCAUCUUGUGAACUUGUCGUGCUCGUAGACAAAGAAACAAUGAUUAUGAUUUUUUUUGCACAGCUAAUUGACGGCUAAACUCCCACGAUCGCUGUCGACCAGUGUCAAACCGUUUGGCAACUAACACAGGGUGCAAGAGAUGAAAAUUUUAGGAAAUUGAUAUUUGAUGUAAUUAAAAAAUUUAAAAGCUUUUUAAUAUAUUUAAACCACUUUUGUACGUUUACAACAAAUUCAGAUUUUUUUUUAGAUCUUCGUGUUUUACUUACUUAAAGAAUAUAUUUUGUCAUAGAAUUUGUAAGCUUUUAAGUGUGAAAUUAAUAUUGAAUUUGUUAUCAUUCUUAAAUAUAGCACCGGUCAACAAAAAAAUUUGUUUUUGGGGUUACUGUUCUCAUGCUUGAAUUCUGAUUCUAGACAUUGAGAAACACUUAAAUAUUAAUCUUUAGUUCUUCAAUUUUGCUUUGGCCUGAACUACAUCGAUAAGUAUAUUUUGAUUUAUUUCAUAAAUCAAAGAUGGCAGCACUUUGAUUAACCCGAAAGUAAACAGUAUUAUUAUUUGUAAGAGGCACAGUAGUGAAUGUUAACUUGUUUAUUAUAGCUGUAACAACAAUAUUAGUGUAUUACUCAGUGAAAAAAUGGCAUCAAGUCAGUGUAAAAAUGAAGUUGAUUCAUUCUGUUUUAUUUGCGGUGAAUUUAUUAUAGUUAGAAGUAAAAAAAAUUGCUUUAUCAACAAAUUUGAAACUUUGCGAAGCCUAUGAGGCCUAUUUUAACCUAAAAGUCAGUAAUCACAAUAAUCUAUAGUGAAAUUGUAGAAAAAAUAAAAAAAUCAGUAAUUUCUGCUUAAAAAUCGAAAUAUUGCUCUAAUUUCAACGAAAGCAAACUUUAACCGGAAAAAAAUGUUUUUCCUUACUUUUAUCAUAGGAGAAACUAAAACUUUACAUGUAGAUGUCAGACCCAAAAAUCGUGUUGACCGGUGUAGUAAAUCUUCCAUAUGGCCUUUUUUGUUUUCUCAAUAGUCAUUCUUUUCACAAAAAUUAUAUUAAAAGUUCUUUUUUUUUAUUAAUUAUGAACUUUAGCUUUUUAUUAGAAAUCUGGCAAUAUCUAAUUAUCGCUUAUAUUUUUAAACAAUUAUCUAUCGUCAUAUAUUUAUACACAUUUAUACUCACACAACAGUGCAACAAAGGUUUUUUUUGGAGAACUUAAACUUAAUUAGCUUAUCCCUGGAUUUUUUGAUAGUUUUGUUUUCAUAAUAGUUGGUGUGUAAAAUUUAGAACUAAAGUAGUGUCGUUGGCAUCUCACUCGGUCGCACUGUGGUCUGCACACGGCCUCCUACACGGUCAUACUGUGUACAUUCGUUUAGAUUGGGUGGAUGUGCAAGGGUGUGCGCACGAUCUGCUGGCCACUUACAUAUUAUACCUGGUUGGGUUCCAUUGAAACGUUUACCAGCAGCUUCCGGAUUGGCACUGCUCAUUUCCGGCUUGUUUACGUACGCCUGCGCACCAUUUGUGUGUCUUAUACGUGAUCACCCUGCAUUUCCCCAACAUGUUUUCUCGUUCAUUGCUGCCAUCUCGUGGUCACUUGAGACGCUGGUGCGUCGUUAUCGCCGUCGCUGUCGCGGUCGCAAGCGAAAUUGCGUCACAUGACUCGCGUUCGUAUCAAAGACUCAAACCAAAUAUUUUUAAGUAAAUUUUUCUAAUUAAGCCACUAGAAAUACAUUUAAGAAAUGUAAUGAAAUUGUAACAAAAAUAUACAAAUACAUCAAAGUUUUUAAUUAUUUCAUAAGAGGAUCUACAUAGCGGCACAGUGUGUUUAAUUAAAUAAUUUAUUGCACAAUAUACGUUGUUUGAACGAAUGUUUUUGUUUGCUACACAAUAACUAAUAAUUUUCUACUUUAAUUUUAUAUUCGUCUUUUCUGCUAUACACGUGCAAACGCUGGUUGAUGCACCGAAAUGUGGUCGAUAUUGGUGUUACCAUAUCGUUAAUUCUUGAAAUAUUUCAUAGAAUUGUAUGUGCUCGUUUAAUGUAGAAAAUCAUGUAGUUUCUAUAUUUGCAAGUUAGAACUCGAAACUCCGAUGUUUUAACUGCUUUUACGCUGAAAAUUUGCGAUUUGCAACAUAUUUUUAUUUCUUUAAAUUCGCUGGUUAUUCCAAGAUAGAUUCUUAUUAUAUAGGAUUAUAGAGCAU